UGGGUUUGACAUGGAUCGGGAGUGCUCAGAGAUGGGUGUGCCUCUUUUGGGGUCGGUUCACAGGUGGUGCAUGGCUGUCGUCAGCUCGUGUCGUGAGAUGUUGGGUUAAGUCCCGCAACGAGCGCAACCCUUGUUCACUGUUGCCAGCACGUUAUGGUGGGGACUCAGUGGAGACCGCCGGGUCAACUCGGAGGAAGGUGGGGAUGACGUCAAGUCAUCAUGCCCCUUAUGUCCG
rnacentral:rRNA from 1 species